UGGGGAAUUUUGGACAAUGGGCGAAAGCCUGAUCCAGCAAUGCCGCGUGUGUGAAGAAGGCCUUCGGGUUGUAAAGCACUUUUGUCCGGAAAGAAAUCCUUGGCUCUAAUACAGUCGGGGGAUGACGGUACCGGAAGAAUAAGCACCGGCUAACUACGUGCCAGCAGCCGCGGUAAUACGUAGGGUGCAAGCGUUAAUCGGAAUUACUGGGCGUAAAGCGUGCGCAGGCGGUUUGCUAAGACCGAUGUGAAAUCCCCGGGCUCAACCUGGGAACUGCAUUGGUGACUGGCAGGCUAGAGUAUGGCAGAGGGGGGUAGAAUUCCACGUGUAGCAGUGAAAUGCGUAGAGAUGUGGAGGAAUACCGAUGGCGAAGGCAGCCCCCUGGGCCAAUACUGACGCUCAUGCACGAAAGCGUGGGGAGCAAACAGGAUUAGAUACCCUGGUAGUCCACGCCCUAAAACGAUGUCAACUAGUUGUUGGGGGAUUCAUUUCCUUAGUAACGUAGCUAGCGCGUGAAGUUGACCGCCUGGGGGAGUACGGUCGCAAGAUUAAAACUCAAAUGAAUUGACGGGGUCAUAGCUGUUUCC
rnacentral:rRNA from 1 species